CUUUACAGAACAAAUAUAACUACUGUAUUGUAAUGUAUGCUUCUGUUCAUGUGUUGCAUUAUUGUAACUUUACAAUCAAUUGUCAAUCAAGGCAAUCACUGCAAACAACAGUGCUACCAACAAGACUAAAUAGGACUCGGACUCUGCACUCAAAAAGGUAUAUUAUACACAUUCCAUUUUAAUAUUAAAAUGUACAUCAACAUGAAUUCAUAAUCUUAAAAACAUUAAUGAACAAAAUAAGGUGUAUUUAAACAUUUAAGUUGCCUACAUUACGUUGUCCCUCAAAAUGUUUGUUCUCUCAGAGAUUAUUUAGCAGAGAUGGGCCACUUCUAUUUAAAUGAAUGGGAGGAAUUGGAACGCUCAACCAAGGAGCUCUGAGCACUCAACAGUCACCGGCUGUACAAAGAAUGUACAAAGGAUGGACAAAGAAAGUCCCGCCUUACAGACAUCGCCUGUCAAUCAACUCUAGAAUGCGCAUUAUCUAUACAAGCCGGGAAACUUGCGUUCGUGUCGCAUUAGUAGACAUUAAUUUAACUGAUGGAGUCGUAGGGAUGAUGUUAAUGCUGACUGUCUGUUCUUUUUGGAGCUUCAAAUGUCAGAUCACCACCCACUUGCAUUUUAAGGACCUACACUGAGCUGAUAUGUUUUUAUAUUUUUCUUCAAAUGUGUUCUGCUGAAAAUAGAAAGUCAUACACACCUGGAAUAUCAUGAGGGUAUCAAGAGAGUUGCGUGGUGGACAACAUUAAGGUGUGCAGCAAUAACACUGGAACGGCCGCUUCAAACGUGUGUGCAUCACAAACCGCGUUCCCAGGAACCCCGCCAUUGGCGAUAGGUUCGCCAGCCGACACGGUCAGAAGGGAUUUCUGAGUCGCCUGUGGCCCGCCGAGACAUGCCCUUCACUGAGAGCGGUAUGCACCCUGACAUCCUGUUCAACCCCCACGGAUUCCCCUCUAGAAUGACCAUCGGAAUGCUGAUCGAGAUCCUGGCUGGCAAAUCGGCAGCCCUCCACGGGCUGUGCCAUGACGCCACACCCUUCAACUUCUCCGAGGAGAGCUCUGCGUUUGAGUACUUCGGUGAGAUGCUGAAAGCCGCGGGGUACAACUACGGUGUCAGCGGCUUGGAGUCGGAAGCGGACAUCUUCAUCGGGGUGGUUUACUACCAGCGCUUGCGUCAUAUGGUCUCCGACAAGUUCCAAGUGUAAACUACAGGAGCGAGAGAUAAAGUGACCAAUCAGCCUUUGGGAGGCAGCAACGUGUAGGGAGGAAUCCGGUUUGGAGAGAUGGAACGCGACGCUUUGCUGGCUCACGGGACGUCUUUCCUGUUCACGAUUAGCUGUUUAACUGCUUGGACAGUUCCGUGGCUCAGGUUUGCAUCGACUGUAGCAGCCUGCUCUCUCCGCUUCUCGAAAAUCCGCCUCCUGAUUGGUCAGCUACACAGCAUCGGAAGACUGUCUGCUUGUUCUGCAAUGAGUGAUUCUAUUGAGAAUGUCUGUUCCGUAUGUGUUCCGAUACUUUGUAGCAGAGCUUGCGGCCAUGAACAUUAAAAUAAAAUUAGAUGUUAAGUAAAAUGAUUUGACUGUUCAGUUGCUUUGCCUACAUGGUAAAUUACGUGCCUCAAUGUAUAAUGAGAAGUCUUUCGUUUGUUUUUUCUCUCCAAGUGUUCACAUGUCUCACCCUUCCGACAUACUAUGUCUGGAAUCGAGUAAUAGUUUUAAACUGUUAAAUUUAGCGGAUGCAUUUAUCCAAAAUAACUUACAAAACAGUGCAAUCUGUGGAAAGUUUUAUCAAUUGGACUGUUUAAACUUUGUGUCAUUCAGCAGGAGAGACAGAGGGCAAUUGUAAUGCUCUAAAUUUCUUCAAACACAAACAAGACGGAGUAAUGACACAUUCUGUAUUUUCAGUAAAGUUCUUUAUCUGCCUGAGAAGACUGUACAAGUGCAUACAUUUGUAAGAAAUUGACAACAAAAAUUAGAGGUAUAAAAGUGAUUUUCUGUUUGGAUGUCCAGAACUUUUCUUCUGCUGCCUUUUGAAUGUACAUUUUUAUAU